rnacentral:misc_RNA from 1 species
UUGCUUCCAUUGACUCCAAUC